rnacentral:rRNA from 1 species
UACGUAGGGUGCAAGCGUUGUCCGGAAUUAUUGGGCGUAAAGAGCGUGUAGGCGGCUUGACAGGUCCGUUGUGAAAACUCGAGGCUCAACCUCGAGACGCCGGUGGAAACCGUAAGGCUAGAGUCCGGAAGAGGAGAGUGGAAUUCCUGGUGUAGCGGUGAAAUGCGCAGAUAUCAGGAAGAACACCCGUGGCGAAGGCGGCUCUCUGGGACGGGACUGACGCUGGGACGCGAAAGCGUGGGGAGCGAACAGG